GUCCAGACUCCUACGGGAGGCAGCAGUAGGGAAUCUUCCGCAAUGGGCGAAAGCCUGACGGAGCAACGCCGCGUGAGUGAUGAAGGUCUUCGGAUCGUAAAACUCUGUUAUUAGGGAAGAAUAAAUGUGUAAGUAACUAUGCACGUCUUGACGGUACCUAAUCAGAAAGCCACGGCUAACUACGUGCCAGCAGCCGCGGUAAUACGUAGGUGGCAAGCGUU
rnacentral:rRNA from 1 species